GGAGUCUGNAACCCGACUCCAUGAAGCUGGAUUCGCUAGUAAUCGCGCAUCAGCCACGGCGCGGUGAAUACGUUCCCGGGCCUUGUACACACCGCCCGUCAAGCCAUGGAAGCCGGGAGUGCCUGAAGUACGCGACCGCAAGGAGCGUCCUAAGGUAAAACCGGUGACUGGGGCUAAGUCGUAACAAGGUAUC
rnacentral:rRNA from 1 species